rnacentral:lncRNA from 1 species
AAGAAGAAGAAGAAGUUGGUUAGUUUUCUCUGAUCUUUCUUCCUCGAGUUACACGAUUCGUUUUCACAUGUCAUUUAAAUCGAUCUGUCUCUCAAUAGGAUCAUGGACGUUUUCUUGCUUCGGGAAGAACUCAGUAAAGAUCAUGUCGAGGAAUCGCCACUCGAGCCUGAUAACAGUCAUUCAUUUCUAUCAGAGCCAACUCAGGAACUUAAUUCUUCGAGGGUUUGAGUGGAGGAGCAAUAGAGCAAUAGAUCAGCAGUACAAAGAAGGAUGCUGAUCGUGUGAAACUCUAAAUCCCCA